rnacentral:rRNA from 1 species
CCUACGGGUGGCAGCAGUGGGGAAUAUUGGACAAUGGGCGAAAGCCUGAUCCAGCCAUGCCGCGUGUGUGAAGAAGGUCUUCGGAUUGUAAAGCACUUUAAGUUGGGAGGAAGGGUUGUAGAUUAAUACUCUGCAAUUUUGACGUUACCGACAGAAUAAGCACCGGCUAACUCUGUGCCAGCAGCCGCGGUAAUACAGAGGGUGCAAGCGUUAAUCGGAAUUACUGGGCGUAAAGCGCGCGUAGGUGGUUUGUUAAGUUGGAUGUGAAAUCCCCGGGCUCAACCUGGGAACUGCAUUCAAAACUGACUGACUAGAGUAUGGUAGAGGGUGGUGGAAUUUCCUGUGUAGCGGUGAAAUGCGUAGAUAUAGGAAGGAACACCAGUGGCGAAGGCGACCACCUGGACUAAUACUGACACUGAGGUGCGAAAGCGUGGGGAGCAAACAGGAUUAGAUACCCCAGUAGUC